rnacentral:rRNA from 1 species
UACGUAGGAGGCAAGCGUUGUCCGGAAUUACUGGGCGUAAAGCGCGUGUAGGUGGUGGGGACAAGUCUGCUGUGAAAGCGCCUGGCUUAACCGGGCGAGGUCGGCGGAAACUGUCCGACUCGAGGACGGUAGAGGGGGGUGGAAUUCCCGGUGUAGUGGUGAAAUGCGUAGAGAUCGGGAGGAACACCUGUGGCGAAGGCGGCCCCCUGGGCCGGCCCCUGACACUGAGACGCGAAGGCGUGGGGAGCGAACGGG